GCCAAUUUUUAAAAAAGCUCAAAUUAAUUUAAAACCCCAACCCAAUUUAAAUAUCAAUACCCGUUGACCCAUUACUUCUUUCCCAUUUUUAUACCCUAAUCCUUCACAUUAAAAAGGUACCUAAAAAAAAUUAUCAUUAGAUUUUUUACACAAAAAGGGAGGAGCGCCGUUUGGAGCUUCUUCUUCAUCAGCUCAUCUUUUCUUCAACGAAAAAACAAGAGAACCCCUUCCUUCCAAAAGAGAACUGAAGGCGCUGUUACAGCUCUUCUUCUUCACCAAAGAAGACCAAAAUCAUAAGACUCCCUAUUUUGGAAACCCAAUCUCAGCUAAAAAAGGGACUGCUUCAAAAUGUCUUCUCUCUUUCUCGCUGAAGCAGAUCGGCGCAUCCUCUCAUUCACUCCUUCAUAUGUUUGUUCUAACUUCACUCAAAAAUUAGAUCUAAAAAUACAAGAGUUUCAAAUAUUUUUUAAAAAAAAAACCAAAAACACGAAAAACAAGAAAAGAAGAAUCUGUUUGUGGGAUUUGGUUUUGGAGCAAGAUCUGCUUGCUUGGUUGGAGAACCCGCUGUUGUUGUUUGGCUGAACUUUUGUCGAGCUCCGUCCUUCACCGAUUCGCCUCUAGUUGGCCAUUAUGAUUCUAUUUGCUAAUAUUAGGAACAUAUCAUAAGCCUUUAAUUUGCUUAUCUAAUCAGAAAAAUAUAUUUCUCCCAGCAAAACGAUUUGAAUAUCAAUGAAAUGUAUUCUGUUGCUAUUUUUUGUUGUUGCUGCUAUUCUUAUUAAUGUAUUGCCAAAUUUAAUUAGUCAAUGUUCAAUAUUUUUUUUUUGUUAUUUAAUAACCAUAAAAUUUCAUCUAUGUUGGCAAGGAUUCCAUCUCAGAAUUGUAUGAUAUUAAUUACAAAAUAAUUGUGUAUGCUUUUGUUCUCUUUAAAUCUGGUGUGGUCACUCUAAUAUGCAUACAAAUCAUCUUAACAUAGUAUGAACA
rnacentral:lncRNA from 1 species